rnacentral:rRNA from 1 species
UCUAGCGAUCCGAUGGGGUAUUGUUGCCUUGUCGAGGAGCUUCCCGGAAACGAAAGUCUUUCGGUUCCUGGGGUAGUAUGGUUGCAAAGCUGAAACUUAAAGAAAUUGACGGAAUGGCACCACCAGGAGUGGAGCCUGCGGCUUAAUUUGACUCAACACGGGAAAACUCACCCGGCCCGGACACCGUAAGGAUUGACAGAUUGAAAGCUCUUUCUCGAUUUGGUGGUUGGUGGUGCAUGGCCGUUCUUAGUUGGUGGAGCGAUUUGUCUGGUUUAUUCCGAUAACGAGCGAGACUCUAGCCUGCUAAAUAGUGACUAGAUUUUUAUGUCUAGUCUACUUCUUAGAGGGAUAAGCGGUGUUUAGCCGCACGAGAUUGAGCGAUAACAGGUCUGUGAUGCCCUUAGAUGUCCGGGGCUGCACGCGCGCUACAAUGGAAGAAUCAGCUGGCCUAUCCAUUGCCGAAAGGUAUUGGUAAACCGUUGAAACUCUUCCGUGACCGGGAUAGGGAAUUGUAACUAU